AAGGGGGUGAGGCUGGGGACAGGAAGUUUUCAGAUAAGCGCAAGCGUAAACAGAGCCGAUUUAUGCGCACAAACCACG
rnacentral:SRP_RNA from 1 species